GUAGUAAAACAAAAUAAUAAUACUACAUAAAUUAAAACUGGAACAAUACAAAGAAGAUUAGCAUGACCCCUGCGCAAAGAUGACACGAGAAUUCGUGAAGACUUUUAUUU